rnacentral:tRNA from 1 species
CAUCAGAUGGCUGAAAGAAAGCAAUGGUCUCUUAAACCAAUCCAUAGUAAGUAACGCCUACUUCUGAUG